rnacentral:lncRNA from 1 species
GGCUUAUUCUCAUUUCGCCUUAGCUGUCAAAAUUUAUAUAGAAAAUUAAUCCCAGUUUGCCUUAGUACAAAUUUUCAGGUACACAAGAAUUAACUAAGGCGAAAUGGGAGCUUCUGUAAACAUUGUUAUUAAGUUAUGUUUUGUUUGUAUUGCAAUUAGUUGAUAUUUGUUAUUUUGAUGUCAAAUUCUACCAUGAAAUACUUUUUAAAGGAAAGAUAUUUUUUUUAAUUUUUGGUGUCC